rnacentral:lncRNA from 1 species
UGGUAGAUACCGAGUCAGUUGAGAGAGAUGUUGCGGCGAUAGGAGAGUUUACGCCGGCGGCGGCCAUGGCAAUAGCCGUUCAGAUGGCGCCGCGUACGUUGGGUCUCUUGCCACAAGCGCGUUCGGUGGGUGACUACGGCCCCACAACGCAGGCGAAACAGGCUAGUACAACAACAGUUGCUCGUAUUACAAAAGCAGUAGUCGGAACUGCUAGCCAGAUUGACGAGAAGCCUGUGUACAUUUGGUGCGGACCGGCCAGGAUGGUAGAUCCGGCCGUAUUUCGCCUCCUGCAAGAGAUAACUGGUGUUGCGUUCUCAAUGGACGCGUCAUGCAACCCCAACGGUACCAAUUCUCUCUGUGCCCGCUACGCCACGCCGGAUGAGUUCUGCAAAACAGACGUAGCCGGCGAAGCCCUCUGGUGCUGCGCCUCACCAACAGAUGUGAGACAGUUUCAGCAGCACUACCAGCGCUGCAAGAGCAGCAACCCAAACAACACCUGCGCAGUGUUUGUCGUACCGAAGUCGCAUCAUUUGAAGCAGUACUCCUCUCAGCUUGGGUACAAGCUAGUGCACGAACUUCCGAAGGGCUCGCCCCUGUUCGUGUCACGCAACGGCACAGGCCAGCAGGGCCGGCUCCCCAUGCCUCCCACCUUGUGUCCCGUUCAAUUCUGGUACGAUCCGCGCGCGAAGACCGCGUCGCUCGGCUCCCUAGGAGGAGACCUCAACAGCCGCGAGCUCACGUUCGAUGCACACACGCACGGACGACGCCUAGUGGUGCUCCCCGACAGCGGUGCAGCCACAAACGGCCCCGAAGAUGGCUUCACGUCACUAGCAACAGUGCAGAAGCUGGGCCUACGCCUCAUGCCAUCAAACACGGCUUCCGUGCGCCUGGCAGACAGUGGCUCCCAGGCCAUAGUCGGCACAGUGCGCUUCACCAUCCGAAUGGGCUGCAUCAGCGACACGGUAACCCUACUCGUUAUGCAGAGAGGUCACGCAUCAGCCGACGUGCUGCUGAGCGCAGACUGGAUGAAACGCCGUGGUGGCAGACUCUGUUACGACACAGACACACUCUCGGUUCUGAGGGGGGCAAGAUGCAUUUACGUCAAGCCGCGUAGCUCUCAAGCACAACGCCUCAUGAACCUCGUACUAGCAGUACAUGUGUCCCAGUGCGGUAUGGACGAAAUGUCCCCGCGUCAAGCAUGGAAAGCAAUGAAACGCGGCGCCGAGGCAUUCCUAAUGCUCGUGCGACCCCAAGGCGAAGAGGCCCUAUGGCACCCAAAUGGUGGUAACGAUCCAAAAACGGGGGUGACGAUCCCCGGACAGGGGGUAACAAUUGUUUCGGGCCCGCACGGCCUGGCACGCCCUGUUGCGGACUGGGCGGAGUGCCUUUCGUCGCCGACAAGUGAACAUGCCGACAUUCUAGUCUGCAAAGUGCGUAUUGUAGUGACAGUUUGUGUUAAAACAGUCUAUUAUGUGAAGCCUUAAACUUAUGUAGUCUUUGCGCUCGCGAACGAGGAAGUCUGGGGGCUGUAGACCGACUGUGUGACAUUGUGACAGGGACCCUUGGGCGUGGUAACGAUAGUAACGACCCGAAGCCAGGGGUAACGGGGCCUUCGCGAGGGGUAACAGGGCUCCUGCAUGGGGUUCUCGCGGGCCUGACUUAACAAGCAGCAUAGAGCGGCCCCUGAUACUACUACACAUAUACUGAUAUAGUACCCUACAUAUACUGAUACACUGCACUUCAUGCCAGUGCCGCACUUCUGUUUCUCUCCCCCACUUUGCUCUCUCGCGCUUGCUACUUCUCUUCGUAACACAAAUUUAUGCUAGCUCAAAUGUCAGUAGAACAAGAGCUGGCGGCAGACGCUGCUUGGCUGGUUUGGGACGCGAGUCCUCACGCUGGUGACUGCUCGUUGACCGGCUUGGCAACGCUGCUCACACGUCAGCUGCAGCCAGCUAUUACGUGAGAGAAACGACUAUGCCUCAUAAUCUAUCAGCUGCGCUUCAAACGUCCGACCGAGAAGUCUCGGUCGCUGGCGUCAACAAUGCCAUUCAACAUCGCGUUCUGUCAACAUCACCCUCGCCCCGCACGCCGCGCCGCGUCGCGGAGGUGGUCCACGACCGCCGGAGUUGGAUCAGGGUCGCUGCUGCCGCCCGGUCCGCCACAACAUCCUGUCGGCCACGCCCGACCCUCGGUCGGCGCACGCCAACGACCUCGCAGGUUAGUCCGCAGGUUGAAUGACGAUGGGAUGCGUUGAACCUAGUGGUACCUCGCAAGCCAGUGUGCAUGGUUCAUCUUCUCGCACUGUGUUGGGUUGUCUGGUGGAGCCCCCGCCUACAACUAGUGACUGUCUGCUGCCUCCCUUACUAGGUGUUUUUAUGGCUCCCUUGCCACGGUAUCACCGGGUCGCUAGUUUGCACACCCUCCUCUGGAGGGUCUGAUUAUGGCGCUUAGCGUAGUGCUCACAGGUUCGAAUCCCGCCAAAAACAAAUUUUUGACACACGAUCACAACGAAGAACAAAAUAAGAUCAGGGCACCGCGGAAUUUUACAAACAAGACCACGCCGGUGCAGAAAUCAAGAAUGCGAUGAAGCACGACAUGAUGCAACAUCAACAAAAUGCACCGACAUUGCGAAAAAACAGGAAUUCAGGCUACCAGGUGUAUCUAUACACCAUGCUUGUCGGUUUUGAAGCUCCAACAUCGCGACGGACAUAUUGAACAUGUAUUUUGAGCGUGCAAUGUUCGGAACACACACAACGAGCUCGUGAGCGCGAAAUGGCGAGCCAAGCAUGUCGAGACACCGACUGAUUUUCACACCGCAUCACUCAAGUCCCUAGUUGUUCGUAAGAAUAUGCAUGCUGAACGCGUAUUGCGCGCAGUGCAUAAUACAAGCUCAGGAGCGCGACAUCGCGAGCCGAGCAUAUUGAGACCCUCCUCCAUUUCCAAGCGAUUUGCGUCCCCAAAGUCUUCUGACUAUGCAUAUUAAGCGUGUAUUCCGAGCUACGUUGCGAAUAGAAUCCAAGCGGUAAAUGCCAAAAACAAAUCCCGCGAUCCAUCUGUCGGCACGCGGGUACCACUCCGGGAGUCAAGGGCGGGAUCGCCAGGUCUAUGCCCAGACUGUCGCCCCGAUCAUGAAUUGACAUCCCAUUACACAUAAUAAGGUCCCUGGAUGGUGCUCGGGCAUAAUUUUGAGCGAGAGCUCAAGUUGAAAUGCUAUAUGUCGCGCUCGCCAGGACCCCGCCAACUUAGCCUGAAGCUAUUUUGAUUACAUCUAUACGAGAAUUAAUGUCGACGGCAAUAGAUUCAGGCCCCAAACAGCGCAUAUGCGAGGUAUGGGCUUCGGUCAAUUUCGCGACUUGAGCCCUGAUAAGCAUAAUUUGGACCUUUGCCGACCACUUCUGGCUGAUGAUGAUGUUGGUUAUGUACCUACAGAAAGGCGUUGUCUAAUCCGUGCGGUAGGAUUUGCCCCGGGGCAACGUCCAACGUGCGGGUUUGGCUGGGAAAACGCACCCCCCGGACGGCAGCCCAGUUUUCACCACGGGCAAUAGCGGAUAGGUCGGGUCAGCAUCCUUGUACGAGUUAUUGCUAAUAGUGAAAAGGCCCGCGGAAGAAGGGGCUCCCGUACACCCCAUCCAGCCGCCUGGUGGUACCCGCGUGUGCGAACACCCGCUGGCUAACAAUAACCUCAUCAAAGUGCAAGGGAUUAACCAGGCCACACAUCAACCUGUUGUAAACACGCAACAAUCCAAAGCACGACAAGCAAGCAGAUAAACAAUACCCCGGCUUCACGCAGAGACAGGACAGGUAGAAACUAAACCCGAACGUACACGUUGCCCUACGCCUGUCUGUCAAACAGCUCAGUGACAUACGUCCAGCCAGCGAAGCCAAGCAUGAUGGUCACCACACCAAACACCAACAAGAAAGUCACUGCUGUAAAUUGCAGUCAGCACUCACCACCCACAAGGUACUCCACGCUUCCAGGUCAUCUGUCAGUACACCUCGCGCAUGUUAAAAACACUACGCUAUCCUUGCUGGCCGGGACGCAGGACAACCCAGUGUUUACCGCCACAUGCCAGAUGUUGCAACCAUGCAUGCAUUGAAGGCCUUGGUUAUGAGGCAGCCAUGCUAGCCUGAAUGCGCACAAUCAUACCUGGCACCGCUACUGCUGUGCUCUGCGAGAGCCUCAAUAGCCGCUGCCAUUCAGCAGCUAGAUCUGCCUCGGGCGUUAGCAUGGUACGCAGCGCCUUUUUAAGCCGGCGCUCUUCGGCCCGCGAGGCCCACAGCGGGCGCACUAAAUGUAACGCAUGCAACCCACGAAACCUGGUGAGCAUUACGUAAAUUGAAGCCCGCCGCCAACUGCCGUGCUGCGGUUUGCACAUAUCCACCAGCCACAGUUCGUGCGGUGGCAGAGUUUGCCCCUGCGCAAAGUAAUCGGUGACUGCAUAUGCAAGCUCCACACGAAAGCCCCAGCGCAUCACAGGCAACCGCAGGGCUGCAUGCUGCGAUGUGAACAUAGCACUGCACGGUAAAACAGGAAUCUCCCCGACAUCCAGGGCCUGAUCGACAGACACCCGACCCGCAUCAGGCCCGUCAGGGCGCACCAUUACAGCCGAGGGCACGAACUUGAGGACAUGCACGGGGGCAAUGCUUGCAUCUGGCAAUGGUGGCUCGUUGAGAUGCAGAACAAUGCCGGUGCCUGUGGCACUGUUGUUGUUGAUGUGAUACAGACGCACAUGCUCAUUUGAUGUAAACACGUAACGAAUGCCAGCAAAGAAUGCGCACACAGCGGGCACACCGCUAUCAUCGUCGGCCCCGCCAAGCGCCUCUAAUUGAUGCACAUGCGAAAUAGGUAAGCUGCUCCCGUCAGGCGACAAGUCCGCGCUACGCCACAGCAGCAGCUGCUGACGCUGCGCGAGCGCAUGCAGCUGCACGAGCUGCAAUGCCAGUGGAACCCGCACGACAUGGCGCUGGACAACUGCAAAGGGCUGGGGCACGGGGUCAAUCCCUGGCUUCGGGGGCCGCCAAACACGCGCGUUGAGCUGCUCGCACGCUGUGUCCAGAUCUGCCUGAGAGAUUUCCUGCACGCCACCAAACUUCUCCGCUAGCAUGAAGAGAGGUUCGUUGUUGUCACCUACGCCUGCUUGCUGCCGAUGCUGGUGAGUGAGAACGAACGCGAACGGCACCAUAUUCCACAGCUCCCGCCCCAUGAGGUUCAUGCUGCCCUCCGGAUGCUCCAGCUGCCGGAUCUGGCGCUCCAUGGCCCCACCGUCCCCCGCGCCCGGCGCCAGCAGCCGCCGCAAGCUCUCCUCCGCAGCACCGCUAUAUAGCGGCACGUGCCGUGGCUGUGGCAACUGACGCAAGUCGCCAACAAGCAGGCCAUGCAGAUCUGACAGCGGCCCGUGAUAUAGGUGCGUGCUGUCUAUACCCACGUGCCUCCGUGCCGCGUGCACAUGCAUGCAAAUGCGCGCCCAGUGGGACAGCCCACACGUGCUAAACUCAUCUAGGAAAAUGAAGCGCACACCAUUGAGGUUGCGCUCGACUCGAUCGCGGUGAGGCGGACCAAACGUGCCAGCAGUCGCAAAGAAGGACGUGGUGCUGGUGCCGAGCACGCCUGGCGUAGAGUCCUGUAAAUGGACCGUGAUGGCAGCGGCCGAAGUCAACAGCAUGAUCAUGUAAGGCUCCCUGGCUGCUAAACCCCCCCGCACGCACGAGCAGGACUAGCAGGACCAGUCCACCGCCGCGACACUUCACCUCAGAACUGAACCCCUCUUGCACCACACACCCCACACACCCCACACACAACUCACAUGCAGCGCAGCGCGCCACGUGUAGCUCACGAGGGCAAUGAGAGACUCGCAGCGGUGCUGGUAUGCAAACCACAGCAAUGCCUGCAGCACCCGCGACUUGCCGCUGCCGGCUUUGCCCGUGAGCACCGAGCACACGGGGGGCUGACGGACGCCGGCAGCCUCUGCUAGCAGGAGCUGCGCGUACAGCAUGAACGCCUGCUGCUGGUCGUCGCUGAGGUUCCAUAACCGCGCUGUGUCUUCAGGCGUCGGCUGCGAGUCCUCCGGGCAAAGCACGUACGGCGGCUCUGCACCAGGGUUCGCUGCAUCGGGUCAGACGCCCUGCACCUCUGGGACGGCUGUGGUAACCGCCAAUGGCGAGAUGAGCACCAGCUUCGCUGUCACUGCCGCAGUGCCGCUGUUGUAAAGCAGCAGCUGCUGCUGCACUGCUCCCUGCGCCUGCGCGAGCGCCUGUGCGGCGUACUGCCCACCUAGGUCGUAAUCAUGCAUGCGUUGCUGUGCUGCAGCCAGCCGCUCGUGCGUCCACUCCUAUGUGCUGCGCACUACUGCCGCCGCCGCUGUACGCCCAACCGCUGGCCAUGCAUUGGCGCGCGGGAUCUGGGCAACCACGGUGGUCGCCUCUGUAGUCAGACCGCCACCCAGGCCGCCGUGCACAACGCGCUGCAGCAGCCCUGCCCGUUCCGUCUCCGAUAGCGCACAACCCUGCCAGAGCUCCGCUGCGGGCGCUGCGCUACGCCUAACAUCGGGUUCCUCAUCAUCCUGCGGCUCUGCCUCCAGGUCGUCCAUGCCCUCCACCGGCACGCCCUCCAACAGUGCCUCCUCCGCCGCAUCCUCAGCGGUGCCCUCCGCCUCCGCCUGCAGCUGCCGCCGCUCCUCCGCCCGCAUUCGCACACGCGCAAGCCCAUCCACGUGAUCGAGCAUACGGCACGCGAUGCGCACAUGCAGCGACUGGCCGUCCGCCGGCUGUGCAAAGCACCGCUGAUAAGCUGCCCAUGCGCCGUUGCUGAGAUCGAGCAUGUCGUCACAGCUGUAGGCGGCGAAGUUCGCGAGCGCAAACACUGCAUAGCGCUCCAGCACCUGCGGAUCGUCCACGCCGUCCGCAGGCCGCACAACGGGGUCACACACCGGCUGCGGCACGUACGGCCGCAGCCGGCGCCGCCACACGCAUUUACUGUACUCUGGGUGCGCGGGAUGCAGGCGCAGAUGGUGCCCUUGCGCUCCAUCUGGCCUGGCCGAGUGCUGCGGGGUGGUGGGCACACAUGCAGUUCUUUGCUGCUGGGCCCUGCCGAAGUGGUGCUGCAAGACAUUAUAACACAUGCGAACCUACGGACUGAACACCCCUGCACCCCAUAACUCCAGGCGUGCAAGCUGCCGCGCACGCAACCUCGUACCUUAUAAAACAACAUGGCCAUCAUCAUAGGAGACAGCUCGCGCAGCGCCUCGCCGCGGUACAGGUAGUCUUUCAGGUAGCUUGAUGACCGGUAACGAGCAGGUGCGACGGCGGGCUGCUCUUGCUGCUGUACGCUUCCGCUGGGCCCGGGAUCUGGGACAUCGCUAGCGAUUGUGCUGGCGGCCGGAAGCUGGCCUUCCCCUCUCGGACUCCCGCCCGCUCCAACGCUGGCCAUUGUACGCACGAGCCGCAGCUGGGUGUCUCUGGGCCUGAGCUCCGGGUCCGCGCGCUUCAGCUGCGACUGCACAUGCUGCGAGAACAUCCUGUAAUCGAUGGCCCUGAACUGGUGGCUUUCGUGCGCGUCGGUGCCCCGCAUCAGCAGCAGCGCCGCUGCUGGAGCGGAGAAGGUCUGCUGGGCUGUUAACAGGUUGAUGGCGUGCGCAAGGUUGAACAUCCCCUCCCGUUGCACCGCAGCCGCGCCGACAGGCCGCGCAGUGCGCAGCGCGGCCACAGUCGCGGACUGCUGUGCGCGCCCGUCACCUCCGCCGUGAGCUGCGCCUGUGCCAGCGUGCUGCUCUCGCCUGCAGCUGACACACCUGCAGUAGGAGGCUGGGGCGCCCAGGCAGAGGCGCUGGCGUCCGCAAAGGCUGCGAAGGGAUGCCGUAGCUGAUCCAGCACGUCCUGGAUCGGCAGGUGCUCGCUCUCAAUCCCGGCCUGCUGCUCUGGCGUCAUGAGGUGCAUGCGCCGCCGCAGCAUGGUGGCUGCGGCUAUAAGGGCCCUGCUGCCCUGCACUGCUUCAGACUUGGUGGCAUACUUCAGGGCAUAGUCCGCUGCGUCCGCGGCAAGCUGCUCAAGGCUGGGCAGCUGCGGCCGCCGCUCCCACACAGGGUCCGUGCGCGGAAUGCCCUCGUGCCGCUGAUCCCAUAGCUCGCGCGUGCGCAGCCAGCGCCCCACGUCACACGCAAACGUGACGGUGUGAUUGCAAGGCACUGCCAGCAGCAGGGCCACCAUAUGCGAGACCAUGUAGCGGCCAUACCGCUUGAGGUGCACGCACACCGACUGCUCGUGCAGGUACGUGGUGAGCCAGUGCAGCAUCCGAGGCAGCCGCAUGCGGCAGUUGCUGUCCGUGGCAUGCUUGCUGUGUGACGUGGUGCACGUGCCGUCGAAAUAGAAAUAGAAAUAGAUACACCCUGCCGUAGGCAAGUGGUGUGGAUUAAUGGAGUGGGGGGAGAUGAGGAGGUGGGCCAGGCCCGCCUCCUGUACGCCCCCACUACCGAGCAUUAGGCGGCGGGCAUCGACCACGGCAGAGGUUGCUUAGCGAUAAGUUGGUGCGUAACGUCGGUUCAGACCCGAGUUCGAUCCUCCCCAAAUUCGGUACAGGGGAAACCUCCGUGCGUAUUCAAAUCACGCACAGGCGCUCCGCAGGGACCGCACGGCUCUUCAGUCGUGUCCUUGUCAUCCGUGGCUAACGUCAGAUAAGAGAGCGGUCGUGAAGUGCCGGCAAAGGGGCCGGACUCUGGAGCGAUCUAGAGUUUCAGUUGAGAUGUUGCCCGACAGUCGGCAUUACCUGAUCCCCCGAUCUCAGGUACCGAAAGCCGUGAGGGUAGAUCAUCCGAGCUGAACAUGGAUAAGACACCAGGGGCUUAAUCCACCCCGCUCCCACCGGUGGGCAGGACCGGCAAAUGAUAAGGUGGUCGUGGUGACUUCCCGCCUUCUCUCGAACUGGGUUGAGAGAUGAUCAGCGAAGGCGUUGCCCCGUUAAUACAUGCUAGGCCCUAUGGGCCAGCGUUGGGAUUAUUAUUAUUAUUAUUAUUAUUAGGCGGCGGGCGUGCAGGCUAGGCCUGCACCCUGCCGGGAUGCUACGUCCCGCCGGGGUUGCCAGGUGGCAGUCCCCGUUCGAGGCGCCGUCUGGUCAGGACUAUAUGAUUGAGGGUGGCGACUGCGUGGUCGUGUAGGGUGUCGCAGCACUGCCUGGCUUUGUGGGAGGUGACGCCCAGGGAGGUGAGGAGGGGUUGGAGGUCCUUGUGGAUUGUUCCUGCAAACCCGAGGCUGAUGGCGCUCUGCGGAGUGUAUUGCACUUUCCAUCCCGCUUCCCGCAGGUCGGCUGCGAGGGCUUGGUGCUGUUGUGCUUUUUCGUGUUGCUUGGCGGCGUGGUUCGUGUCGGCUGUGUAUCCGGCUUCAAUGAUGUGGAUGGUGUCAUGUUCGCUGGGAAGCACGACAAAGUCUGGGUUUAGGGCUGCGGCGAGGGAGAUUGAAGGAAUUAGUAGUAUGUCGGGGCGGUAGUGUAGGUGGCGUCCUGCUGGUUUGCCCUCCUGGUCGGGAAGCAGCCAUGGCGGCAGACGGUUGUCAGCUGCGUAGUCUGGCAGAUCGUCUUUAGACGUGGCGUCCAUUACCAUGUAGCAGCCGCCGCAGUCACCGCGGGAGAUGGCUCGUGCGAUGGUCUGGACUGCAAUGUUGUGUCGUUUAAUGUACAUUGCACGGAGUUGGGGGUUGUGGCAGCCUCCCAGUAUGUGGCCGCCGGAGUCGGGUCCGCGGCAGAGUGGGCAUGGGGCGGGGUUAUCAGGGCCAGCGCGGGGGGCUCGGCGGCCUGUAACUGUGCGGCCAAAGCGGGCUGCGAGUUUGUUGUUCCACAGUUGCCCGUAGAGGUAGUCCAUGCAGCGUUUGGCUUUGCGGUGCCGGCCUGAUUGCAGGUUCAUGGUUCGGGUGCUGGAUUUAAUAUCCAGGUCUGGGAUGGCGUUGGCGACGAAGCCAGUGUAGAGAGUUUCGCGGGUGUGGCCUUGGGCGAUGUGCGGGGCCGCGAGCGUGGCGAUGCCGCGGUUGAGGUCGUGCGCGUAGUGUCCUUCGUUCUUGUCUCGUGGCGCCCCUUCCGCAGUCGGUUUUAUAGUUUUACGUAUCCAAUAGUAUUUACUACGCGGGUCGUUAUCGGAUUCCUCGACCAGCCACUCGGCCCCGGGCAUCCGUUCUCCCUUGGCGGUUUUCACCGCCGCCUGAUCUGCGAGUUCAUUGUGCGUAAUCCCUGAAUGUGCUUUGACCUUAAGGAGGUUUGUCCGGCGGCCGGCGUGGGAGCGGCGUUUCAGGAGCGCGAGGAUGUUAUCCAGCAGCGCUUUGUGUUUGCUGAAGGUAAGGAGUUGGGGCUGGUUGAUUGUUUUGCGGAUGAGGAAUAACGACGCAGCGGAGUCUGUGUAGACUGUGACUUCGGGGAGCGCUUGCACUUCGUCUAGCUUGCGCACUUGGUGUAUUGCCGAGAGCUCGCAUCGUGUUAUGGUGUUGCAGCCGUGAUGUCCAGGGUUGACGUCAAUCUGAUACGUUUGGGACGUGCGGGCAUCGAUCGCUGCGGCCCCCCACGCGCUGGGCUGGCCAAGGGCGUCUUUCUGCACUGAGCCAUCGGUGUAGAAGCCUUCACAGGGGUUGAGGCGUAGGGGUUGGGUGGCCGCGAACGGGGCCAGGGUGGCUGGCGUGGCCGGUACGGGAGGGGGUGUUACCCGGGGGGCUGCCGGGCGGGUGCGGGUCAUCCGGCGGACCUGUUUGGUCACCCACCGUGUGUGGGCCCAGGUGAGUUGGGGCUGCGGUUCGAUGGGCAUGCCUGAGAGGUAUAGAGACGUGCCUAGGGCGUCGCGUAUGGACUGGGCAAGUCGGGCUCCGGGUGUAUUGCUGACCAGCACCAGGUCGUGUUUCAAGGUGAGGCCUGCGUCGUUGGGGUGUGGGCAGAGAAGGGCGUGCGUUGCUGUGGCGGAGAUGCUGCCAAGGAGGGUGACUCUGGGGUGGGCGAGGUAUCUUGUGUAUGGCGCGUUGCGUUGCGUGGGGAGGAGGAUCAGCGUGGCGUUGGUUGGCGGGUGGGGGGUGUUCGUAAGGGUUUCGGUGUAUUCGGCCCAUGCCAGUGCCCAUCGUACCGCGUGAGCUCCGUCUUCGGUGUUGGGUUCGGGGUAGGCGACAGCAAUUCCAUCCCAUGGCUGGGAGUACGCGUCAUAGUUGGCCCCAAAGAGCAUGUCUUCUUCAUACAGUGUGUAGUAGGUGGUGGCGGCUUCCGAGACGUUUAGGGGGGAUGCGAAGAGCUCUGUUGUGCUGCCUAUUGCUGUGUGCAGGGUUUGUGUCAAUCCGUCGCACAGAAUGCGUUCCCCUUUUUCAGUGACAGGGUGGGAUUUGGAGCCGCCCCCGGGUUUGUAUCGGAGGAGCAGGCGGGCGAUGGCCGCCGCAAAGCCUCUGCCCUGGUCGUAUUUAGCGUGCGCUUCGGGCCAGGUUGUUUGUGCAUGCUGGUAGCGUUGCCAGAGGAGGUUAAGCCGCUCUGCUCUGAUGGUGCCUUUGCACCGUCCGCGGGGGUCGUAUACAUGCGCCAUGUGAGUGCUGUGUGCCGUGGAGCCAGGGUCGGGAAGGAUACCGAGCUGGAUGGUGUAGGUUUGUGUGGGGCAGAUGUCCCGGCGGGGGUUACAUGGCUCGACGUUGAUGUCUACGUAGUGGCGCAGAGUGCGUUGCCCUCGUGCGGUGUCGUUGCUGGCAUCUGUCCAGCGGCCCUGUCGCUGGUCAGGGUUUAGGUGUGUGUCGCUAGCGGGGGCCUGGGGGCGGGGGGCCGGGGGGACAGCAAGGCGGGCGUGCAGGGCGUCCAGGAGGUCCUGUUUGUUGUCUUGUGCCUCCAGGGUAGCGGCGGGUUCUUCCAGGUCUUCCCAUUCCACCAGGACGCGAGGUUCAUUAUCCGGGGUAAGGAGCCAGGUAAGGCCGCCGGGUUUGGGGCGGUAGCGGUUCCGGGCGUAGAGGGUGAGGGAGCCGGGGGUGAUGACGGUGGGUUCCCACUGGACUCGGUAGUGAGGCGAACCUUUGCUGGUGGUGCGGGCUAUUACGUGCUGCACCCGCUCCUGGUGUCCAUACAGGGUGUUGGUGGUGGUGAGGGCUUUGGUGCGGUAGGUUUCGCUGAAGUGCUUCCAGGUGUCGGACGUGGCGGCCAGGUACGCGUCUUGUUCCUCCUGGUUGAGCUUGUGUCGGUGUGUGAAAGUGGUUGGGGGCGUGGGGCCCAGAAGUAGGCGUCUGAGGUGUGCUUCGGGGUUGGGGGGCUUGGAUUGGCCGAUGAGGCUGGGGGCGAUGUCGAGCAGGUCUGCGCAGUGUGCGUCGGUAAGUGGGUCAAGCGCGGGGUCCCAGUCGAACGCUUUCGGUGCGUCCGCUGGCGGGGCUCCCCGUCCUUCGGGUUCUCUGACCAUUUUAAUGCAGGCCCGCUUACGUUGAUGUGUGCCCGGCCGGCGUGUUUGUGCAGGUGUCUGGUUUUCGCCAUCGCUGUGGGCGUCCUCAUGUACUGUCGCCGUGGCGGCGGUGGCGGUGGUGACAGCGGUGGUGGCGGCCGCGGCAGUUCCUCCGGCAUGGGCGGUCGGUUCGGCGGCAGGGGCGCGCUGGCGAAGGAAGCGGUUAAGUGUGCCCCAGUCAACGGCGGUAGGUGCGGUGUGGGUCGUGUGGAGGCCGGUAAAGGUGUGCCCGUCUGGGAGAGUGCGUUGGGCAGCGGUAAGGGGAGCGGUGCUGUUGUGGGUUUUGGCUCGGGCUCGGGUUUCAGCGUGGAGUGCGAGAGUGAGACGGUUGAGGGCUAUCCUGUGCCGCCUUUGGGCCCUCGGCCAUGUGUUCCUUAAAGUGUUGGCAUCGAUGACGCAGGUGCGGUCCGG